UGACUUUGGGCCAUGAUGUUGUUGUUGUUGU
rnacentral:piRNA from 1 species